rnacentral:lncRNA from 1 species
GUUGUACUGUUAUACCACUGUCCCAGAUUAGGGGGAGGGUUGGGAUCCCGCUAACAUGUUUAACCCCGCCACAUUAUUUAUGUAUGUGCCUGUCCCAAGUCAGGAGCCUGUAAUUCAGUGGUUGUCGUUUGUUUAUGUGUUACAUAUUUGUUUUUCGUUCAUUUUUUUUUACAUAAAUAAGACCGUUAGUUUUCUCGUUUGAAUUGUUUUACAUUGUCUUAUCGG